AAAAUACACAGGUGCACUCCAAUAUUAAAAAAAGAUGAGCCAAUAUAUUCGUGGCUGAUAUUUUGUAUUAAUAUAGGCCGAGUAUUUUGACGGCACCGUGGCUCACUCUCCACCAUCAUCGAUCAUCUCACCCGCGCUGCUCACUGCAUCAUUCCUCUCUUCUUCGACGUUCCUCACUCAUCUCUUCCUCGCAGCAUCACUCAUCGUUCAUCGCCGCCUCGCUGCUUGGGUCCAUCGCCGCCUCUGUUCCUCGUUCGUGUGUUCACCCAGCAGGGGUAGCAAAGUGGAAUUAUCCAAGAAAGGAAAAUAGCUCAACAGAAACUCUUUCGGCCUUGAGUUUCAAUUUUGUAGGUUGUACGAUCGAUUAGGGUUCAACCUCUUACGAUUCUUUGAUUCAAUUUCAGCAUUGAAUAUGGCCAUCUC